rnacentral:misc_RNA from 1 species
CUGAAUAAUAAAGCAUAUAGCAAAUUAGAAAGAGUUAAAAAGUCAGAUCUUUGUAAAUCAAAUCACCCUGAACAGAGAAACCCAGGAGGAAAGCCUAUGGGAGCUGAUUUAAGAAGGGAAUCAAACAGCUCACCGGGUUUUGCUACAAGAGCCCCUGCAUCUGCCAUAAUUAAUACACUUUCAAUCCACAAAUGCACCAAAAAUGAAAAUGAAAAGUGAAGAAUAGUUCUGUUAUAGAAAUCUGUAAGCUAGUGCUCAAUUUGCACAGUUACAUGAUGAAUCUUGUAUGUUUUUUCACAGU